UGUGGGGUGCUCGAGUGGCGAACGGGUGAGUAACACGUGAGUAACCUGCCCUUGACUUUGGGAUAACUUCAGGAAACUGGGGCUAAUACCGGAUAGGAGCUCCUGCUGCAUGGUGGGGGUUGGAAAGUUUCGGCGGUUGGGGAUGGACUCGCGGCUUAUCAGCUUGUUGGUGGGGUAGUGGCUUACCAAGGCUUUGACGGGUAGCCGGCCUGAGAGGGUGACCGGCCACAUUGGGACUGAGAUACGGCCCAGACUCCUACGGGAGGCAGCAGUGGGGAAUAUUGCACAAUGGGCGGAAGCCUGAUGCAGCAACGCCGCGUGCGGGGUGACGGCCUUCGGGUUGUAAACCGCUUUCGCCUGUGACGAAGCGUGAGUGACGGUAAUGGGUAAAGAAGCACCGGCUAACUACGUGCCAGCAGCCGCGGUGAUACGUAGGGUGCGAGCGUUGUCCGGAUUUAUUGGGCGUAAAGGGCUCGUAGGUGGUUGAUCGCGUCGGAAGUGUAAUCUUGGGGCUUAACCCUGAGCGUGCUUUCGAUACGGGUUGACUUGAGGAAGGUAGGGGAGAAUGGAAUUCCUGGUGGAGCGGUGGAAUGCGCAGAUAUCAGGAGGAACACCAGUGGCGAAGGCGGUUCUCUGGGCCUUUCCUGACGCUGAGGAGCGAAAGCGUGGGGAGCGAACAGGCUUAGAUACCCUGGUAGUCCACGCUGUAAACGGUGGGUACUAGGUGUGGGGUCCAUUCCACGGGUUCCGUGCCGUAGCUAACGCUUUAAGUACCCCG
rnacentral:rRNA from 1 species